GUAUGUGUAUCAGUAUGUGUAGAACUAUGUCUGUGUAUCAGUAUGUGUAUAACUAUGUAUGUGUAUCAGUAUGUGUAGAACUAUGUAUGUGUAUCAGUAUGUGUAUCAGUAUGUGUAUCAGUAUGUGUAUCAGUAUGUGUAGAACUAUGUCUGUGUAUCAGUAUGUGUAUCAGUAUGUAACUAUGUAUGUGUAUCAGUAUGUGUAUCAGUAUGUGUAUCAGUAUGUGUAGAACUAUGUAUGUGUAUCAGUAUGUGUAGAACUAUGUAUGUGUAUCAGUAUGUGUAUCAGUAUGUGUAGAACUAUGUCUGUGUAUCAGUAUGUGUAUCAGUAUGUGUAGAACUAUGUAUGUGUAUCAGUAUAACUGUGUAUCAGUAUGUGUAUCAGUAUGUGUAGAACUAUGUAUGUGUAUCAGUAUGUGUAUAACUAUGUAUGUGUAUCAGUAUGUGUAGAACUAUGUCUGUG
ensembl:lncRNA